rnacentral:rRNA from 1 species
GGCUCAUGAUUUUUCAAAACGGGAACACAAAAAUAUUUUUUCCGUGGUUGGACGGGUGAAUAAUGCCUAGGAAAUUGCCCUGAUGUGGGGGAUAACCGUUGGAAACGAUGGCUAAUACCGCAUGAUGCCUACGGGCCUAUUAGGGGGACCUUCGGGCCUCUCGCGUUGGAUAUGCCUAGGUGGGAUUAGCUAUUUGGUGAGGUAAGGGCUCACAUAGGCGACUAUCCCUAGAUGGUCUGAGAGGAUGAUGAGCCACACUGGAACUGAAACCCGGUCCAGACUCCUACGGGGGGGAAUAUUGGGGAAUAUUGCACAAUGGGCGCAAGCCUGAUGCAGCCAUGCCGCGUGUGUGAAGAAGGCCUUCGGGUUGUAAAGCACUUUCAAUCGUGAGGAAGGUAUUGUUGUUAAUAUUUGCAUUAUUUGACGUUAACGACACAACAAACACCGGCUAACUCCGUGCCAUCAUCCGCGGUAAUACGGAGGGUGCCAGCGUUAAUCGGAAUUACUGGGCGUAAAGCGCAUGCAGGUGGUUUAUUAAGUCACAUGUGAAAGCCCCGGGCUCAACCUCGGAAUUGUGUUUGAAACUGGUACACUAGAGUACUGUAGAGGGGGGUAGAAUUUCAUGUGUAGCGGUGAAAUGCGUAGAGAUCUGAGUGAAUAACGGUGGCGAAUGCGCCCCCCUGGACACAUACUGACACUAAGAUGCGAAAGCGUGGGGAGCACACACGAUGAGAUACCAUGCUAUUCAACACCGUAAACAAUGUCUACUUGGAAGGUUGAGGCCCUCCCGCCGCGGCUAUCGCAGCUAACGCACUAAAUAGAACGCCUGGCGAAGUACGGUCGCCAUAUUUAUACUCAAAUGAAUGACCGCGGCCCGCAUAGACGGUGGAGCAUGUGAUUUAA